rnacentral:lncRNA from 1 species
GUAUCCAAUAACUGGAUCAGAGAUGUAGAAAGUCUCUCUGUUGUAUUUGUUGAGAGGAGCAUCUAUUUCAAACCUCUCAGGCAAAUCAGGAUUAGACAAAAACAAGCGCCCAUAAGCAACCAAAUCAGUAUAUCCAGUGGAGACUGCUUUAUUUCCAUCCUCCUUAUUGUAGCCACCAGCAGCAAUAAACGUUCCCUUGAAAGCAUCCCUGAUUGGACGAAGACUAUGGGGGGUUUCAAACUUUUCACCAAGCUUUACCAUCCGUGGCUCCACCAUCUGGCAAAGGGUGACAGCCUUAUCCCAACCUUGUCAGCUCCAAUUUCAUCAGUUACGGCUUGGACCACUUCUAGCGCAAACCGGCAGCGAUUCUCUAAGCUCCCACCAUAUUUAGACUCUUCCUACGUGCCAAAUCUGACAGAAAAAUAUUCCUCCUUUGGCAUGAACGCCGUCUACGAUUGGCUUCCACGCUUCCACUUGCUCCUUUGUCCAAAUACCAGGAGUAUCUUUACCCUUGAGCAGUGUCCGAGAUUCCAGUGGCCUCAGCAAUCAAAAGGCCUCCUUUGGUUGUUCUCUGCUGAUAGUACAGAAUGGCAUGAGGCUGAGGAACAUUACCAUAGGAUCGCUGCCUUGUCAGUGGUGCGAGAACUACCCUAG